rnacentral:rRNA from 1 species
AUUGAACGCUGGCGGCAUGCCUUACACAUGCAAGUCGAACGGCAGCACGGGGGCAACCCUGGUGGCGAGUGGCGGACGGGUGAGUAAUGCAUCGGAACGUGCCCUGAAGUGGGGGAUAACGCAGCGAAAGCUACGCUAAUACCGCAUAUUCUGUGAGCAGGAAAGCAGGGGAUCGCAAGACCUUGCGCUUUGGGAGCGGCCGAUGUCGGAUUAGCUAGUUGGUGGGGUAAAGGCCUACCAAGGCGACGAUCCGUAGCGGGUCUGAGAGGAUGAUCCGCCACACUGGGACUGAGACACGGCCCAGACUCCUACGGGAGCAGCAGUGGGGAAUUUUGGACAAUGGGCGAAAGCCUGAUCCAGCCAU